rnacentral:rRNA from 1 species
UCGAGGGGUAGAGUUCUUCGGAGCUUGAGACCGGCGCACGGGUGCGUAACGCGUAUGCAAUCUACCUUUUACAGAGGGAUAGCCCAGAGAAAUUUGGAUUAAUACCUCAUAGUAUAAUUGAAUGGCAUCAUUUAAUUAUUAAAGUCACCACGGUCAAAGAUGAGCAUGCGUCCCAUUAUCUAGUUGGUAAGGUAACGGCUUACCAAGGCUACAAUGGGUAGGGGUCCUGAGAGGGAGAUCCCCCACACUGGUACUGAGACACGGACCAGACUCCUACGGGAGGCAGCAGUGAGGAAUAUUGGACAAUGGGCGCAAGCCUGAUCCAGCCAUGCCGCGUGCAGGAUGACGGUCCUAUGGAUUGUAAACUGCUUUUGUACAGGAAGAAACACUGGUUCGUGAACCAGCUUGACGGUACUGUAAGAAUAAGGAUCGGCUAACUCCGUGCCAGCAGCCGCGGUAAUACGGAGGAUCCAAGCGUUAUCCGGAAUCAUUGGGUUUAAAGGGUCCGUAGGCGGUUUGGUAAGUCAGUGGUGAAAGCCCAUCGCUCAACGGUGGAACGGCCAUUGAUACUGCUAGACUUGAAUUAUUAGGAAGUAACUAGAAUAUGUAAUGUACCGGUGAAAUGCUUAGAGAUUACAUGGAAUACCAAUUGCGAAUGCAGGUUACUACUAAUAUAUUGACGCUGAUGGACGAAAGCGUGGGUAGCGAACAGGAUUAGAUACCCUGGUAGUCCACGCCGUACACGAUGGAUACUAUCUGUUGGGCGCAAGUUCCUGGCUAAUCGAAAGUGAUAACUAUCCCCCUGGUGAGUACCUCGCAGUAUGAACUCAGGAAAU